rnacentral:rRNA from 1 species
UACGGAGGGUGCGAGCGUUAAUCGGAAUUACUGGGCGUAAAGCGCGCGUAGGCGGUUUGUUAAGUCAGCUGUGAAAGCCCCGGGCUUAACCUGGGAAUUGCAGUUGAUACUGGCAGACUAGAGUGUGGUAGAGGGUAGUGGAAUUUCCGGUGUAGCAGUGAAAUGCGUAGAGAUCGGAAGGAACAUCAGUGGCGAAGGCGGCUAUCUGGACCAACACUGACGCUGAGGUGCGAAAGCGUGGGGAGCAAACAGGAUUAGAAACCCCAGUAGUCC